rnacentral:piRNA from 1 species
UGUGCAAGCCCACAACCACACCUGUGAGUAA